ACAUGCAAGUCGAACGGGCUUCUUCGGAAGUCAGUGGCAGACGGGUGAGUAACACGUGGGAACGUGCCCUUCGGUUCGGAAUAACUCAGGGAAACUUGAGCUAAUACCGGAUACGCCCUUAUGGGGAAAGGUUUACUGCCGAAGGAUCGGCCCGCGUCUGAUUAGCUUGUUGGUGGGGUAACGGCCUACCAAGGCGACGAUCAGUAGCUGGUCUGAGAGGAUGAUCAGCCACACUGGGACUGAGACACGGCCCAGACUCCUACGGGAGGCAGCAGAAGGG
rnacentral:rRNA from 1 species